AACACAUGCAAGUCGAACGGUAGCACAGAGAGCUUGCUCUCGGGUGACGAGUAGCGCACGGGUGAGUAACACGUGGGAAUAUACCCUUCAGUACGGAAUAACGUCGGGAAACUGACGCUAAUACCACAUAAUGUCUACGGACCAAAGAUUUAUCGCUGAAGGAUUAGCCCGCGUUGGAUUAGCUAGUUGGUGAGGUAACGGCUCACCAAGGCGAUGAUCCAUAGGUGGUUUUAGAGGAUGAUCAGCCACACUGGGACUGAGACACGGCCCAGACUCCUACGGGAGGCAGCAGUGAGGAAUAUUGGACAAUGGGGGCAACCCUGAUCCAGCCAUGCCGCGUGAGUGAUGAAGGCCUUCGGGUUGUAAAGCUCUUUUGUCCCUGAAGAUAAUGACGGUAAGGGAAGAAAAAGCCACGGCUAACUUCGUGCCAGCCGCCGCGGUAA
rnacentral:rRNA from 1 species